CUAUGUAGAUAGAAGGUUUCUGGCGGUGCCUUAUUUUGCAAACGUCUCCUUGGUGAUACCAGCCCAAGUUGCGCAGGAAGAAAAGAAAAUCCAGCCCACUUUCACCUUGCUGAAGGGAAUUAAUCCCCAAACAAGCUUCAAGUUCCACGGCUGUGAUUCGUUAUUCAAGCAAAACAUUUAGCAUUCAAGAUCCUGUUCCAACUAUUAGUUUUACUUAAAAUUGUUUGUAAAUCCAUUGCUUGACGCACUUAACAUUUUACAGGCUAUCCAACACAUACAAGUCAUUUGCACACUAACUUGCAAAAUUCUGGGCUGAUGUACAAAUAUGACAAAUCAGAAUUUUUAUAUAAGCAGCCAUUUGGAUCCUUAGCCAAGUCAAACACUUGUUGGCAAACACAAUUUUUCAUCUAGCAGGAUUCAACAGCACAUUUUUAAAAAUCAAAGAAAGCUUUCUGAUAGCUGACAAUGUAAGACUGGGAGAAUAUUGAACAGUUUGCUUCAUUGAAAGAAGAUAACACGACUUCCUUAUCUAAUGGGAUGAGGUCAUCGCUGGUAUUGGCUCAUUCAGAAAUUCUUGUUCUGUGGCUACAGGUCACUGAUAGGCAAUGAUGUAACAGAUAACAUGGAAAAAAAAGUCUGAAGGCUGAGAACACCAAUAAAAAUAGUCCUGUUGUUUCAAA